AAAGCGACUCUCGGCAACGGAUAUCUCGGCUCUCGCAUCGAUGAAGAACGUAGCGAAAUGCGAUACUUGUGUGUAAUUGCAGAAUCCCGUGAACCAUCGAGUCUUUGAAACGCAAGUUGCGCCCCCAAGCCUUCUGGCCGAGGAGCACGUCUGCCUGGGUGUCACAA
rnacentral:rRNA from 1 species